AAGAUUACUGGGGAAUAACAAGCUGUUAGAUGUUACCAGGAAAGCUGUUCCAAGAGUAGGUGGAAGCACAAAAGGCGUCAUGAAGCUGUUUGUGGGAUGAACAGGAGAAAGCAGGAAAAUGAGAAAGGAAAGAAGAGCUGAGAGGAGAGUGGGAGGAAUGAAAGCAGGGUGUGGGCAGGAAGGAGGAGUUGACGUGAUAAAGCAUGAAAGGAGUUCUACAAGGACAACCCUGAAGCUAAGAAAGAAGAGGAAGCUUACAGGCAUUGCCAACUCCUGGGUUGGUUCUCAGUAAGAGGUUAGGCAGCUGGAGGCUGGCUGAGGGCAGAAUGAGGUUGGUGGUGGGUCAUUAUCCCAUGUGCCCUAAUGGACAAACUGGGGUAACUGUGACACUCAGCCACAGGGCUACUUUCUCAUGAAAAAAUGUUGGCCUAUUGUCAGGGUCAAGUCUUCUCUGAA